GUUUAGGGCAUACAAGGUUUUAUACAUUCCUUAAUUACUUAUAAUGACUUAAUGGAAAUAGCCACCUGCUCUGUUGAUCAGUUACAAGAGCUGCUUCGAUUUGCUUUGCAUCUGCUCAGCUGUCUUAGAUGUUUCAAUGCAAAAAGUUAUUCUCAGCCAUCGUAUUUCUUCUGUACUCAGGAUGCUGGAGAAGCUGAAAGACAACUAGAGCCCUGGAAACUCAGGAAAUCCCUCUUCCAUGAUUGACUAGAAGCAACAUAAAUUUGUCAAGAAAUCAUCUGGAAAUAGACACCCAGGAGUGUACUCAUAAGAGAACAGCCCACACCCUAUCUCCUCAGGGCUGUUAAGUCAUUGAGGUCAUGAAGCACCUUGGCUUUCCCUGAUUGGGAAAGAAAGUCAGAUAUGCAUGGUACGGACGUAACAAUGCUCUUAUUGUUCUGUUCCAGCUGUACUAGUCAGAUGCAGGACUAUGUAAAGCAUAGUUACUGUCACAUGAUUCAGUUUCUCUUAUUUAUCUUUCUUCUUUAUCACCUUCUCAAAUAAAC
rnacentral:lncRNA from 1 species